rnacentral:rRNA from 1 species
UACGUAGGGUGCGAGCGUUGUCCGGAAUUAUUGGGCGUAAAGGGCUCGUAGGCGGUCUGUUGCGUCAAGAGUGAAAACUCGGGGCUUAACCCCGAGCCUGCUUCUGAUACGGGCAGACUAGAGGUAUGCAGGGGAGAACGGAAUUCCUGGUGUAGCGGUGAAAUGCGCAGAUAUCAGGAGGAACACCGGUGGCGAAGGCGGUUCUCUGGGCAUUACCUGACGCUGAGGAGCGAAAGUGUGGGGAGCGAACAGG